ACCAGUUCUACCUCUGUCCCUGCAGUGGUGCAGGGAGACAGGAAUGGGACACUGCUCAGGGACAGAAGUCAUUCCCCUGCUCCAGCAGAGUCCCUCCCACAAGGAAUAGUUCUCCGUGAACUUCUCAAUUGUGAGUCCAGCUCACAAGCAACAGCCCUAGCCAAACUGCUGCAAUGUCUGCAAGUCCCUGCCAGGAAUCCUGCUCCACCAUGGGCUUCCCACAUGGAAGAGGGGUCACAUCCUCCCCUCAGGCAUCUCCGUGCUCCAGCAUAGGCUCCUCCAGGAGCUGCAGGUGGAUCUCUGCACUCCUGUGCCAUCCUUGGGUUGUAGGGGCACCACUGUUUUCACUGCAGGCUCAGGGGAAUCUCAGCUCCAACACCUGGAACAGCUUCUUCCCCUCCUUCUCCACUGACCUUGGUGUCUUCAGAGCUUUCCUCUCACAUAUUCUCACCCCGCUUUUAUUUGGCCACAAUUACAACUGCACAAAAACCUC